UGUGGCUUUUUGUUGUUUUUUUUUUUUUUGGUUUUGGUUUUUGCUUCUGAUUUUGCCUUUUGCAAGUUUUUGGUUUUAUAUAGACCCAAGGAUCACGGCUUCAAUUUGGAUUUUCUUGUAGGUGUAUUUUUAACCUCUUGGCUCAUACUUUUAAUGGGGAUUUAUUAUUUAUUGUUAUUUUAUUGAAAGAAGCUUAAUUUUUGGUCGUAGUCCUAAUCCCCCUUUUUUCCUGCUGCGUUUUUUGGCUGGGCUUUUUCUAAAGGGGGAACAGCCUGCUUUGAACAAAAUUCUCAGAGGAUUAUGUUGGGUUGUUUUUGGUUUGUUUUUUUUCCUUUCCAGGACUGUAAAUGCCUCCGGGACCAAAGCCACAUCCUGCCAGGAGGCUUUCCCACCUGCCUGCCGUGUCUCCUUGGCAGGAAAUGAAGAGGGCACUUCAGAGAUCUGAGAACUACGGCUGAAAGAGUGAGGAAGAGUCUAGGCUUCCUUUCAUUCUAUCUUAUGUGGGAUCAAAUGGAACCUUGGCAUACAUGUUUGGAAAGUGGCAGAGACACACAGUCAUCAAGUUCAUACCAGCUCAGGCCCACCAUCUCCCUUGUCAGGCCCAGCUUCCUGUUUUGAUUGAUGAGACAACGGAGGCCCAGAGAAGUUAAGUGACUUGCCCAAGG